rnacentral:lncRNA from 1 species
GAGGAGGAAUCAGCUUGAAGCAUGGCAAUGAAAUCUACAUUGCUCCCUCAGGCGUGCAAAAGGAGCGCAUUCAGCCAGAAGACAUGUUUGUUUGUGACAUCAAUGAGCAGGACAUAAGUGGGCCUCCAGCAUCUAAGAAUCUUAAGAAAAGCCAGUGUACGCCUCUUUUCAUGAACGCUUACACCAUGAGAGGAGCAGGCGCAGUGAUUCAUACCCACUCUAAAGCUGCUGUGAUGGCUACCCUUCUGUUUCCAGGACAGGAGUUUAAAAUUACACAUCAAGAGAUGAUCAAAGGAAUAAGGAAAUGUACCUCUGGAGGGUAUUACAGAUACGAUGAUAUAUUAGUGGUACCCAUUAUUGAGAACACUCCUGAAGAGAAGGACCUCAAAGAACGGAUGGCUCGUGCCAUGAAUGAAUACCCAGACUCCUGUGCAGUUCUAGUCAGGCGUCACGGGGUGUACGUGUGGGGAGAAACAUGGGAGAAAGCAAAAACCAUGUAAGACCGAAUCUGAGGAUAUUUGGUACAAAUCACACUCAGAAUGUGGAAAGAACUCAACGGGUUUAGGAUUUAGAAUGAAAUAUGAGUCUUUUACAUAUUGUUGGUCAACAUGUUUCAACUUCAGUAAUCUAUGUUACUUGUGGAGAGCUGAUUUUCACUCUGUUGAAUCAUUGGGGAGUAGUGACUGAAUCAGCUUUCAGUUAGGAAAUUGUUGGGGUCAAAACAGAAAACCUUUGGUAUAAGAUAAGAGAAAAAUGUAGGAAGAGCAGAGCAGAGCUCACAUAGGGAGAUAUGGGGAUCAAAAGAGCUCUGUCCAGACACACACGUGCAGGCCUUUUGCUCUUUCUUCUACAGGUGUGAGUGUUAUGAUUACCUGUUUGACAUUGCUGUCUCCAUGAAGAAGAUGGGGCUGGAUCCAACGCAGUUCCCAGUUGGAGAACAUGGAAUCGUAUAAGCCAAGUGGACGCCUAAGAAUCUCCAAAAAUAAAACAAACUCAAUUACGCCUUAAAUAAAACUCUGCUACUUUUAAAUG